CAGGUUGAUAUCCUCUGGAACAGUAAGAUAUCCUGGUUGCUGAGAAACUUUUAGCACUCUUCAAUUCCAUGGAGUUUGCAUGUUUAAGUGAGGGCACAAACUACUACUUCCCACCAUGCCACAUAGUUAAUAUAUAGGCUAGAGUUCAUCAAAUUCAGAAUCUGUAAGGCAGGAAGUUUCAGAGCUUCUUGAUUCGAAAGUUUAAUUCAGGCUGAGUUGGUUUGAAACUGUAAAAAGCUUGCAGCUUUGGAGUAUUUAUUCCAUAGGUAUGGUAUUAAUCUCAAGUUCGAUGGGUAUGCUAGGGUGACCAUUUCUUAAC